ACUCUGUCCUCGCCUGCUGCCCUGCUUCUGAGAAGCUGGGCUUAGGAGGAAGAUUCGGGGCAGCAAGGUGUGCAGGGCCUGGCCACACCCAGCCUGCUCUUCCUCAGCUCCUGCCCUGGGCCGCAGUGCCCAGAGGAGCUUUAGGGAAUGGUCCAAGGGCUGAAGCCGGACUGCAGUCCCCAGACCCUGCUCAGCAUGUCUUCUCUGAGCCUGCAGCGACCGCAGUAGUAGUGAUUCCUCUAGGUGGAGGGUGCGCACCUUUCUGCACCCCGUUCCCACCCGGGAAGCUGACCCUUACCGACAACCCCAGCCGGCUCCACUGUAGGUUCCCUGAUGUCCAGCUGGGUUUGACCAGUAGGAGGCAGCAACAGGAAGUCAGAUGUCCACGGCCUACUCAUCCAUCACACUCUAUCAAAGCCAGCCUGGGCCUCUCCUGGGCUUCCCGUGGGCUUCUGCUAAUGCUCCCUCCUCUUGAUCCUCCAGGUCUAAGGGUGGCCGUGGCUAGCGGGUUCCCAGCCCAGAGGCUUCCCCAUGCUCCCUGUGGCCUCCCACGACUCUGCUCACACCCUUGUGGGCAGUCCCUUUGUGACCCCUCCCCAGGCCUGGCUUGUGGGCAGUCUCCUUCCAGGGAACCGAGAUAGGACAUGGUGUGGCGCUACGCUACAGUGGUCAGUCAGAAAGAGGGAAUGCCAGGGAAAGGAGGGAGGUCUGAUGGGGGAGCCACACAGAAGCUUCCUGGGUACUAGCAACCCUGUAUCUAGGAGGCGCAGUGUCCACAGGGUUAUGCUUUCAACGGCCUCCAUCUGCUUUGCCCGGUCUUCUGAACCUGCAGAAUAUUUCACCUCAAAGAUUUCUGGCAGGAUGUGUGAGAGGUCCUUGCGGACCUGGCCACCUCUCUCUGACCUAGGUGGUUGUUACAUAAGUUUCCACCUUACAAUAAUUUGUUAAGUUUACAUUUAUGUUUUAUGCACUUUUCUGUAUGCAUAACAUACUUAUAAUUAAAAA
rnacentral:lncRNA from 1 species